AUGUACUUAAUAAACCACAAGCAAACAUUUUACGAACAAGACACUUUUCAAUGGGGUAGUAUCCACUGCAUGGGCUACAGAAAGUGAGAGAAACAGAAAGUGAAAACAGAAAGUGUUGGUGGGCUAGCUGAGAAUGACAGCGACCUGCUGGUGAGUUAAGGAGUUAUCUGACAUGCGUGUGUGUGUGCAAAUAUACCAUUUGUAAUGUGUGAGGCCUGACCCUGCAGGAGACCAUCACUCUUUUAUUAAGUGAAAGUGAUUAAAAGAGCAACUGUAGCUGCUUUAUGAUAUCUCCUCACACACCAGAUGUUCACUACACUGUAAACCCUAAUGUUGUAAUUAAUAAAGAAAUCAAGUUAACAUAACUUCACAUUACUUAUAACAACCAGUUUUGCCAUCAAAACUUAAACAGGUGUGUUUAAAUUACUCAUUGGCAGGAAAAAUCUUUUGAAUUAAGAUUUUAAGUGUUAUUAACUCAGAAUUUCCAUUUAUUUAAAUUAUUCGGUACGUCUCUGUUUAAAAAUGAUUGGUCGCGCUUGAAAUUCUGCCUUGACAACAGCGCCGAUUGGCCAAUAUAACACAAGGCGGGAAUUUUUUGUCGAAUUUGCUGAAGACGCAGCACUGACUGCAGGACACAGUCAUUUGCAGGAACACCUGAAAGAACAAAUAAAUAAUAAAGUUUAAAGUUAAAUAGGUAAGUAAAGGUUUAAACGCAACGCAUAAAUAUACACACGCUGUUUUUUUUUAUUUCCUUAUACGUUUUAUUGCCAUGUUAUUUGCAUGUUGAAAAUACUUUUCCGUUUUACUCUGGCAGCGGGCAGCUGCACAAGCAGCCAGACAGGCGUUAAAGCAGGCGGGAAGAGAGUCGCCGUGAAAGACCCAGAGUACGCUGGGACAGUUAACACUAGCAGGCAGGUGGUUAUGAAGCAGACGAGGAGGGGGAAGAGUCGAGGCCACAGGAGUAACGUUACGCUGCUAUCAGAGCCAACUGAAAAACUGAACUUUGGUGCUUCAAGGACUACCCCUUUGGUUUGGAGAUGACUCUCCUGCUUUCUUUAAAAUGUGUUUGAUGUCCGAUGAUCACAGCUCAAUUCUUGAUCUGCCAGUGGGGAUUGUGAUAGUUGAAGAUGGGACAAGAUGGGUCUCCCUCUUCGACUGGAAUCGCAAUCGAGG